UACGGAGGGGGCUAGCGUUGUUCGGAAUUACUGGGCGUAAAGCGCGCGUAGGCGGGCUGUUAAGUCGGGGGUGAAAUCCUGGGGCUCAACCUCAGAAUUGCCUUCGAUACUGACAGUCUUGAGUGCGAGAGAGGUGAGUGGAAUUCCCAGUGUAGAGGUGAAAUUCGUAGAUAUUGGGAAGAACACCAGUGGCGAAGGCGGCUCACUGGCUCGUAACUGACGCUGAGGUGCGAAAGCGUGGGGAGCAAACAGG
rnacentral:rRNA from 1 species